AUUGAACGCUGGCGGCAUACUUUACACAUGCAAGUCGAACGGUAGAGGGGGCAACCCCUUGAGAGUGGCGAACGGGUGAGUAAUGCAUCGGAACGUGCCCAGUCGUGGGGGAUAACGCAGCGAAAGCUGUGCUAAUACCGCAUACGAUCUCUGGAUGAAAGCGGGGGACCGAAAGGCCUCGCGCGAUUGGAGCGGCCGGUGUCAGAUUAGGUAGUUGGUGGGGUAAUGGCUCACCAAGCCAACGAUCUGUAGCUGGUCUGAGAGGGCGACCAGCCACACUGGGACUGAGACACGGCCCAGACUCCUACGGGAGGCAGCAGUGGGGAAUUUUGGACAAUGGGCGCAAGCCUGAUCCAGCAAUGCCGCGUGCAGGAAGAAGGCCUUCGGGUUGUAAACUGCUUUUGUACGGAACGAAAAGGUCUGGGUUAAUACCCUGGGCACAUGACGGUACCGUAAAAAUAAGCACCGGCUAACUACGUGCCAGCCGCCGCCGUAA
rnacentral:rRNA from 1 species